rnacentral:misc_RNA from 1 species
GAUGAAGAACUCAGCGAAAUGCGAUACUUGGUGUGAAUUGCAGAAUCCCGUGAACCAUCGAGUCUUUGAACGCAAGUUGCGCCCGAAGCCAUCAGGUUGAGGGCACGUCUGCCUGGGCGUCACAUAUCGUUGCCCAAUGCCUAUUGCAGUGCAAUAGGAAUUUCUAGGGCGAAUGAUGGCUUCCCGUGAGCGUUGUUGCCUCGCGGUUGGUUGAAAAUCGAGUCCUUGGUAGGGUGUGCCAUGGUAGAUGGUGGUCGAGUUAGAACGAUACCGAUCAUGUGCAUGCUCCCCAAAAUAUGGCCUCUAUGACCCACACGCGUCUUUUGACGCUCAUGACGAGACCUCAGGUCAGGCGGGGCUACCCGCUGAAUUUAAGCAUAUCAAUAAGCGGAGGA